UUAGUUGAUUACGAGACAUUGAGUGAAAUUCUUAAAUUUAGUUAAUAGGAGUAUGAACUACACUUGGCUAAUCUUGUUGAUGUUGCAACUGUUAGCCUUCUUAAUGCAUAUCUAUGAGGCAGAAUGCAAACACAGUAGAAAUGGAAGAAGCGAUAGAAAAUAUUCCAAUGCGCGAUCAGCGACAAGUUUCCCAAUGCAAGACGAAAAUUAUAAGGACAGGCAUCUUCGAAAACCAUCUGGUGUCUCUCCGAGAGCGUUCCCACUGGCCCCUGUGGCGGCGGUAGCUGCUUCAGUAACUUAUGUUGCCAAAAGAUAUUUGAAAAGAAUUACCAAAGCAGUUGUCAAAAGAAUUGCAAAAAAAAUUCGCGAAAAACUUGAAGCCAAAGCAAAGAAGGAGAGGGAAAAGGAAUGGGAAAGAAAAAGAGA